rnacentral:lncRNA from 1 species
CCAGAGGAAAGCAUGUGGGUAUAAUAAGAAGAAAUGAUCUGAUGCCUAUGUUUGCAUAUAGAAAAAUGAACAAAUAGAAUAUAGAGAAGGUGGUGUACCAUCUAUAUGUCCACUGUGGGAAUGGCCUUGUUACAGAUUACUCAUUUGUUUUUAUAGACACCUGUAAAGUAAAACGAGAAAAUUGAAGGAAGAAAGUGUUUAAAUAAGAAUUCAAUUAGUAAAGCUAAACUAAACUAGCAGGUAGGUUGUACUGUGUUCUAGGUUGAUUGAUAUCCUGUGAUAACCAAAUCCACAACUGACCAUAAUGAUGUAAAUGGCAGAGCAAUGUUAUAUACCUAUACUAAUGGGAACAUUAGAAAAAAAUAAAUUAAAUUUACCUGUCGCCUACUGGAAUCAUCCUUGCUACCAAAUGCAUUUAUGGCAANCUCAAUUAUGGAAGUAACCUUCUCCCCCAUUUGAAUAACUUGAACAGAAAAGUUGUGCGUGGCCAAAAACAAAAG